AUGUGGUUCCCUGCUCAGCUCCUGGAGCUGCUCCUGCUCUGGGUCCCAGGAUCCAGUGGGGAUGUUGUGCUGACCCAGACUCCACUCUCCCUGUCUGUCAUCCCUGGAGAGACGGCCUCCAUCUCCUGCAAGUCUAGUCAGAGUCUGGUACAUAGUGAUGGAAAAACUUAUUUGAAUUGGAUUCAACAUAAACCAGGCCAAUCACCACAGGGUCUGAUCUAUCAGGUUUCCAACUGUAUCACUGGGGUCCCAGACAGGUUCACCGGCAGUGGAUCAGGGACAGAUUUCACACUGACAAUCAGCAGACUGCAGGCUGAGGAUGCUGGAGUCUAUUACUGUUGUCAAGGUACAGAAGAUCCUCCCACAGUGAUGCAGCCCUGAGCACAAACCUCCCUGCCUGGGUGGCUCAGCUGCUCAAAGUGCAGCUUCUCUGGGGAACUGACAGCGGAUGCUCUGAGUCUGUGUAAGAGGAAGAUG